UACGUAGGUGGCAAGCGUUGUCCGGAAUUAUUGGGCGUAAAGCGCGCGCAGGCGGUCCUUUAAGUCUGAUGUGAAAGCCCACGGCUCAACCGUGGAGGGUCAUUGGAAACUGGGGGACUUGAGUACAGAAGAGAAGAGUGGAGUUCCACGUGUAGCGGUGAAAUGCGUAGAGAUGUGGAGGAACACCAGUGGCGAAGGCGGCUUUUUGGUCUGUAACUGACGCUGAGGCGCGAAAGCGUGGGGAGCAAACAGG
rnacentral:rRNA from 1 species